rnacentral:lncRNA from 1 species
UUAUUACGAUAUCGCGUUAAAGCGAUUUUUCUUUUUUCUUUUUUUUCGUUCAACAACGUGAAAUUUAUGUUACGAGUCGUCGAGUUAAUAUUGGUUUUAAGUAUCAUGUAAUAACGUGUCGAAAUUAAAUGCAUCGAUAAAGGAGAAUAAUAUAAUAAAAGUUUUCACACGCUGCAAAUCUCAUACCGCUAUUUAAUACCGAUAUAAAUCUUUCGACGAGAAUUCCCACUGUUACGAUACAUUUGUUGUAACAGAAAUUGGAAAGAUGGAUUAAGACGAAAAAAUUCUUUUCCACUCGUUCCAUCCCGACUUUUAACCAUCCUCACUUAGAAACGCGCACAAACGUAAUAAUACGUUCGAUUACGUUUGACGUUGUGUCUUUCGUGCAAAUGUACGAAAUAUGUAUUAGAAUAUUCUCGUUUUUCGUUCAAUGCAUCAAAAAUAUCGUAGCUUUUCGCGUGCGGUCCACGUGGCUUUAAAUAUUUAUGGUCGUUUUAAAUAUUUGCAACUUGUGCAGCGCAACGAAAGUGAUUAUCAUAAUUUUCUUUUUUUUUUUUUAGGAAACUGUUAUUAGUUAUUCGUCCGAAUUAACUAGUGUUGGUUAUUGCCGCUCGUAUUACGGGUAAGAAAUUACUCGUUGAAAAUGGAUUAGGGCAUACAUCAAAACUAAGACACGAAAUAAAUAUUGUUGGUUCGUGCGAGAGGAGAAAUUUGAUACGCGAUAUAAAUUUUCCGUCGAGAGAUAAAAUUGGAUUAUUGGAAGAUAAAAUUGGAUAUCUCGUUGUAGAAAAUUUCAAAAAUUUCUUCCGCUUGUUCGUUCACGGUUAAAGAAUCAAGACACGACUGCGAGUUAAUAUUAAUUAACAAUUUAGAAAACAGUUUCGCAGACUCGUUAAAACAGCACAAUUCAGUUUAGGCGUUAGAUAUGCAAAAUUAAGCAUCGCUUGAAGCAUAACUCGCGAAUGUAAAUCUGAGUGGAAACAGAAGUAACAAUGAGCUGUAGUUGUAAUGAGAAAAUUCAUUUGCAGAUCGUCUCAAUUUGUCGCCACGAGUUGAAUGAAAUAUGUGUCUAUGGUGUUGCUAAGCCCAUUAUCCCCGAUAAAAAUCAGCGUCUUUUGUUUUUCUUUUUUACAUAAGAAGUUUUACGUGUGAAAUUAAAAAGUGUAACUGUCCUAAAUAUGUAAGAGUUAGUUACGUUAUUAUUGCGAAUGUUAUUUCCUAUUGGAUAGAAUUCAUAUUUUUCACACCUUCUUGAGUUUAAACAACAAAAAGAAAAAAAAAAAAAGAAAAAGAAAAAUACCGUGAAAGAUUGCAUCUUUUGCGCGUGAUAAUUACGUGCUAAAUUAUGUUUAAUAUAUCGAAACGAGUAUAUAUAUAUAUAUAAAAGAGAGAAUAAUAUUUCAAUAUGUGAUUCAAGAUUUCAAGAAGAAAGAAUAUUUAUUAAAAGUGGAAAAUUUUUUGAGAAUAUUUCAACAAGCAUCAUUUCAGAAAUAAGGGAUAUUUUAAGAAUAAAAGAAACUUUUUCGAAUUAAAAGAAAAAGAAUUUCUUUUAGAAAUGAGAAAUAUUUUAAAACAAGAUUCGAUCUUGAAUCAAUUUCGUGAAUAUGCAAAUGGUUAAUUGAAUUCCAUUCUUGGAAUUGUCCCAACUCCCGAAUUCCGGUUUACGUGACAUAAGUCACAGAUUUCGGCCGAGGAAAAGAAUACUGCUCGAUGCCUGAAGACAUUUUAUUGCGUCGCCAAUUAAAGAUCGCUUUCUUUUUCAACGAAUGCCAGAUUAACAUUGAGAGGAGGACGGUUGUUCGAUUAAUUUCUCGAACACGCGUUCUUUUUCGUUCUUUCUUUUUUUUUCUUUUCUUUUUUUUUUUGCGUAUUUUCCGAAACACCUUUCACCGAAAAGUGAUCGUAUUCUCGUAUAGAUUGGAGAUUGAAUAUUUUAAUUAAUAUUGGAGGAGGAUAAAAUCGCGUUUGAAAUAUCCGAGAGAUUGAAAAAAAAAAGUACACAUUUUCUUUCUUUCGUGUACAAGAAGUGAAAGAAAGAAUGCGUAUGAUUUGACAUUUAAUUACAGAAGAAAAAUGUUCGUCGUUGCGUAUUAUUCACGUAUUUUUACGUUAUAAAAAAACGUUUAACGAGUGAAAACACGAUUUUGCUAUUUACUACAUUAUUUAUUUAACGUCUAAUUUAUUGCGUCUAAUUUCUAUUUUGCAUAUAAGGAAAUAUUUUAAUUACGAAGAAAAUAAAAUAUUCGCUUCAUUCACUUUCUUUUGUUUUCAAUUUGAAUAUACCGCAUAUAAUUACAUUCCAUAUAGUGUCUAUCACGAAAAAUAUAUUAUAGCUAUUAUUACAAUACUUUCUUCCAUUCUCAAAUUGAAGAAUAAAUUUCACCACCGUACCGUACAAUUAUUAUAUUAUUUUAUCGCGUAAAACAAGAAUGUAUUUAUAAUAAAUGUAUAAUAUCGUAAAACGAAAUCGUGUAAAAGUAAGAUCGGUCGAUUACAUCGGAUACGAUCUCUUAUCAAUAAAUUUUACAAGAAACACGGUGAAAAGAAAAAACGGAAUCGACGAAUAUCCGUAUGCCCCCCUCCUAACUUAUUCCACAAGGCAAAGAGCCGUUUAUCUACGUGUUACUUGUAGAAUAAUCAUGAAUCCUCGUAAUUGCAUCAAUUACCCAGGCUUGCUUACCCGUUACCGGUUUAACCGUGGCAAGAAACCGAUCGAUCGAUUUAUGUAUUCUAUAUACGAACCGAAUCGAGUUUUUAAUCAUUGCGAUCGAUUCGCAAAAUGUUGUUUAUUUAAUUCGUGUAAUAAUUUGUUUCCUAUCCAUCGAAUGCCCGCCCCGCGUAGAAUUUCGAUCGAUCGUAAAGAAAUCUUUAAUCAGAAGGAAAAAUCGUAUUUAAGAUCGAAAUAUUCUGGCGAUGAUUUGAUCGCCGUUUCGAGCGGCAACGAACAAACGUUGAAACGGCGUUCAACACCCUCCCUCUCGAAACAAAAGGAGCAUCGAUCAUCGAGUCAAAUUGUUGACUCGUUGAUCAUUGUGCAUUGUUACCCCGCGAAAAUUUUCUGAACCCGUUUUUCUUUUACCGGAUUCGUGCACGCGCGUUUGACGUUAGUAAAGAGAACGGUGAUAUUUCAUCGCGUCAGAGGAAAAUAUAUUCAAUGGGCGAUUCGAAGUAAUGUCGGCAAUGGUUGGAAAGGGAAUAGUUCGACGUUUCAUUCGAAAUAUUAUAGAAAGACGCGUUUCUCGAAGGCGAAUUCUGACAAUGUCUUAAAAUUAACUUAAGAAGGAAAGAGUUCUCUUACUUUUAUUCGAAGAGGUUUCCACGAUGCCUUGUUGUUAUAUAAAUCGAUGAAAUUUGCGAAGACGACACUUUACCGAUAAAUGAAAGUAAGAGUCAAAUACAUAAUUGCAAUUGUCGUGUAUAAUUAUUUUUAAAUAAAGUAAAGGAUUCAAGGCAAGUAAAAAUAUAUAUAUAUAUCGGAAGAAAACUUCAACGUCAAAAAAUAGAGAAAAGAUAAUAUCCAUCCAUAUUUUUCUUUUACUUUUAUAAUUAUUUAAAACAUAGCAAAAUCGCGUAUAAUUCCUCCGUUUCUGCUAUAAAAAAGAAAGAAAAGUACAAAACUAGAGUAUCCAAGAAAGUUUUAUCUUAACCAACUCAAUGUGAACCUGUCUCUAAGAAACAAAAAUGCAUUCCUCCAUUCUUCCCAAUUAAACUUCUUUUCCUUCUCUCGAAGGAUUAAACGCGGCGAUCGGUAUCCACCGCAGCGAUGCAAAACGGCUAUCAGGUUAUCUCGAUCGUUGCUUCAGUUUCAUAGAACGGUCCGAUGGCCAGGUAUCUCGAGCGUGCAACCUCCUCCACCCGUGAGAACAAAGGACAUCCGUAUUCGUGGAAUUCUUCUCUGCGAGUGAGACGCAUUCUCGACACGAACGAAGAUACUUACGCAGCCGUGUAUACACGGUCAAUGGCAACGCCUUUUCCUUUCUUCUCGACCCGCCACCGUUUCAUCCGUCUUCCGGUUUGGAAGAAAAUUGCUCGACCAAGGACCAGUUUUUGGACCACGGAUACUUUUACCGAUUUCUUCCACGCAUUGCAUAAGAUCACAGUGGCAGGCAACAAAGGGGCUCUUGUCGCUCCCCGAGCGAUCCGAUCCUCUCCGUAUAAUAUAAUACUAUAAACGUGGCCGAGUAAGGGACACUGUCACGCGGACUGGCCGGCGAGCGUUUCGUCACAGUCCCCGUGCGCGAUAAAUCGUUCCCGUUACGACAAGGACACACAAUGGGCAACGUGUUACACACGGUCUGCGUGCCACCAGCGGAGAUAAAUUAAAGAUGGAAGGAAAAAGGAGAGGAGGACGCAACGCAACCGAGGCAAGGUGGUUCGAUCGAAAUGGACUCGCCUCGACCGUGAGACGAUCCACCAGAAGACGACAUUCGCUUUUUAGUGGAUUUAUUUAGGGUCGACCUUUCUUUCUUCCCCCCCUCCCCUUUUUUCUUUCGAUCGUUUAAUUAAUAAAAACGGGCCGAGUGGAGGGGAAAAAGAGAUCGGUUUCCUUUUUGCUCGAAAUGGAAAGUUACGAGGAUUCCCUAACGAAUCGCACGAUUUACGGCGCACUCGUGAAUUUUGACGGGGUGCGUAAAUCUUGUUGAGGAUAGAGGAUCGAGAUUCGUUAUUCGUAAGGAGAUUGAUGCUCGAGGAUCGGUUUCGAAACAUCGCGAUAUCGUGGGUGGUUAAUUGUAUCGGUUAAUUGGAUCUUUGAUUUUUUUUUUUCGUGAUAAUUGCGUUUUGUUCUUUCACGUUUUUUGAAAAACGUGUCGUGCGAUGAUGGAGAGAUGAUUGCGCUUUCAUUUUGCACUCGAAAAUUGGAAAAUUGUGUAAUUUCGGUGACAAAUUAUAUCUUUUUUUUCGUCGAUCAGUGUGAUUCGCUUGGCUGUCGUACUUUUUUUUUUAUAUUACUAAUUAGUUUAUUACUUCUGACAUUCCUUCCUCUUAUCUUCUCUUCUUUCUUUCUUUUUUUUUUUUAACGAGGAAAAUAAUUUGGCGAAAUUUUAAACGUGUCGUAAUUGUGAAUCGGCUACCGUGACGUACCAACGAAAUAUUUAAUAUUUUAUAUCUCGUGAGAGACUAUGCUUUUAGCUUUUCCAGGGAUUGAAAAAUUGAGCUUGAGAUUAUUCCUGAUAUAAGAUGUCUUUUCUUUUUUAAACAAAAACAUUUUAUGUCCAGUUUAUUUUAUACAUUC